GAGUUUGAUUAUGGCUCAGAGUGAACGCUGGCGGCGUGCCUAAUACAUGCAAGUCGAACGGACAAGUAAGAGCUUGCUCUUAUGAGUUAGUGGCGCACGGGUGAGUAAUGUAUAGCUAAUCUGCCCUACACUAGAGGACAACAGUUGGAAACGACUGCUAAUACUCUAUACUCCUUCUUUACAUAAGUUGAGUCGGGAAAGUUUUUCGGUGUAGGAUGAGGCUAUAUCGUAUCAGCUAGUUGGUAAGGUAAUGGCUUACCAAGGCUAUGACGCGUAACUGGUCUGAGAGGAUGAUCAGUCACACUGGAACUGAGACACGGUCCAGACUCCUACGGGAGGCAGCAGUAGGGAAUAUUGCUCAAUGGGGGAAACCCUGAAGCAGCAACGCCGCGUGGAGGAUGACACUUUUCGGAGCGUAAACUCCUUUUCUUGGGAAAGAAUUAUGANCGUACCCAGGANGCC
rnacentral:rRNA from 1 species